rnacentral:lncRNA from 1 species
UAUAGGAUAUGCGUUAAACUCUCCGGAACACUUGCCAAACCCUAAAUGAAUCCCUAAAACCCACUAAAUUAAACUUUUUGCAAGGGAUUUGCAAGGGUUUCAUCGCAAAAGCCUCGCAAUAUUGCAAGGAACUUGCGAGAACACUUCGAAACCCCUGUCUAAACCUCAAACGAAACCUAAAGACAUUAAAAAAAGAUUUUGCAAUGGAUUUGCGAUGAAACACGAUAAGUCUCUCGCAAAACACUUGCAAUUUUGCAAGGGAUAACCGUUGCAAUUCGCUUGCAAAUUGCAAGGAUUUUGUGACGGAAAUUAGGUUAAUAAAUAAACACACUUAACCUUUCCUCUCCAUUUCACUCUGCCGUCAAAGAAAAAAUAAAAAGAAAACCUCUCUGAUCCGAUCUCCUCUCUGUCUCCCGCCUCUCCUCUCUUUCUCCCUGUGGUCUCUCCUCUCCGCCUCUCCCUCGCCGUGUCCCGCCUCUCUCCGCCCUCUCCCCGCCUCUCCUUCUUCCCGUGGUCUCUCCCUUGCCGUGUCCUCUCUCCUCCGCCUCUCCCUCGCCGUGUAUUCUCUCUCUCCGCCGCUCCCCGCCUCUCCUUCUCCCCGUGGUCGCUCCUCCCCGCCUCUCCCUUGCCGUGCCCUCUCUCCUCCGCCUCUCCCUCGCCGUGUAUUCUCUCUCUCCGCCGCUCCCCGCCUCUCCUUCUCCCCGUGGUCGCUCCUCCCCGCCUCUCCCUUGCCGUGCCCUCUCUCCUCCGCCUCUCCCUCGCCGUGUAUUCUCUCUCUCCGCCUCUCCUUCUCGCCGCUGCCUCGCCGGAUCUUCGCCUCAACCUUGCCGGAUCUCUCUCCUCAAGGUUGCUCUAUCUGACUUCAUUAUUAUUUUUUUAGGUUUUAAUUAUAGUUUAGGUUAUGGAUUUGUGAUGAUGAUUCUGUGGUUAGGGUUUUCAAUUUUUUAGGUUAUGAUUCUGUGGUUAGGGUUUGAAUUAUUUACAUUAUGAUUCUGUGGUUAGGGUUUGAUUAUUUAGUGUUAUGCUAAGUAUUUUUGUGGUUUUUGGUUAUCACUUUAGGUUAUUGUUUUUUUGUGUUGAUUCUGUCCUUGUUAGAAUUUAAUUUUUUUGAUUAAUUACAGUUACUAAAAAUUUUAAAUUAUUGUAUUAAUCUUUAUAUUUAUUUCUUUGCAGAUGUCAGGAAAUGAUUAUACCCGAUAUCUGUCUGCUGGUAGUAGGAAGAGUUAUGGCAGUAAGAAGAGUUCAUCCCGUCGUAGCAAUCCGAGAAGUUCUUCUAAUUCUCAGAUGGCUAAGAGCUCGGCUGUACCUAACAGCCAGACACAACCUUCCCCUCCAGCUCCCGCUCAAGCUUCCUCUCCUGCUCCCGCGCCUGCUCAAGCUCCUCCAGCUCCCGCUCCCUCUCAAGCUCCUCCAGCUCCCGCUCCCUCUCAAGCUCCUCCAGCUCCCGCUCCCUCUCAAGCUCCUCCAGCUCCCGCUCCCUCUCAAGCUCCUCCAGCUCCCGCUCCCUCUCAAGCUCCUCCAGCUCCCGCUCCUGCUCAAGCUCCUCCACCUCCAGCUCCCAAUGCUGCCGCAAUGACGUUGGAAGAUUUAGCGACAAUCAAUAUGAUUCUGGCUAGUCCUGGACAUCAUCUUCUUCCUCACCUGCAUCCAAAUCGCCCUCCAAAUACGGUUUGGUAAGUUUUUUUUAAUUAUAUUUCAUUGUAAUUAAUUAUAAUAUUUUCACUUUUAUAAUUUAAUUCUCUCAAUUGCCUUUAAUUUUCUGUGAUAGGUUUGAUGAAGAUGGGAGCGUUGCUGCAUCGGUUCGUCAAAUCUUUGAAAGAGAUUUCAAAGAACCGCAUGCUAGUUGGAAGCAAACCCCUGGGAAUGUCGUGAGACGUUGGUUUGAAUCCUUUGCGGUAAUUCAUUUAAUUUUUUCAAAGUUUAAAAUUCUGUAAAAUAAUCUUUUUAUGUUCACUACUAAUGUCUAUUAAUUUUUUUUUAUGUCAGCAAAUGUAUCAUUGGGAUUCUGGUUUCACUAGCCUGGUUCGCGAUUCUUUCGAGGCCAAAUUGAAAGUCCAAAUGAAUCGCCAAGUUUGUCGGUGGAAGAAAGUGUGGCGGGUAAAAGGUGAUGCAGCUAUGCCUGUUUGGUUUGACCCAAAUGUUUGGGCUGGUCUCGUCACUUAUUGGCUAGAUCCAGGCACUGAAGUCCGGAAUUGCAAUAGUCGGGCAGCCCGUUACUCUGACCCCGAUAGACAUGGGCCAUCUAAGCAUCGUUCAGGUCAGACUUCUUACAAGUUGCGAUGUGAAGUUGCCUAUUAUCUCUUAAGUUGUGAUCUCAAUUUUUAAUGAUUUGACGUAAUCUUUUUAAUUUUAGGCUGAAGAAACAGGAGAGUCUAUUCCUGAUUGGCUUGGGGUUCUCGAGAUCACUAAACGAAAGCCGGAUGGGUCUUUCGUUGAUGGCAAAUCUGAGCAGCUCUACAAUGACGUGACAUCUAAAUUUCAGGAGUUAUCUCAGGCAGCUAGUGCUGAUCCCGAGAGCACCGGUUCUGUUGGUCUCACUCCAGCAGAAAAGAACAAGAUUUAUUGUGAGGUAAUUUUUUAUUGCUGUCAAUCUCAAUUUUUUUUAAGUCUUCUUUGAUAUUGAUCUCUGAUUUUAUUAUGUAGCUUGCUCCCCGCAAAAAGGGACGAAUUUAUGGAGUGGGUUCUCUAAAUCAAUCUGUAGGAUCCGUUUCUGCAUCUUUUCCUUCUUCUAGCAGUUCUGAGGACCAGUCUUUGAAGAAGAUCAUCAAGGAACAAACUCUUGUGAUUCAGAGCCAGGGAAAUGAAAUCGGGAGGCUGAGUGCUGCUGUUCGUUAUCUAGCUACCAAAGAUUCUACCUUGGCGAACAUUCUUCAGUCCGAAGAUGUGCCUUGUUCCCACAACUCCGAGGGCAUGUCUCAUGACUCUAGAGAUGAUGAAUCUGAUGCUAUUUAGUUUGUUGAUAUCUUUGUUAUGAAUGUUAAAACUUUGUGUGUUUGUAUUUCUUUGUAUCGAAUCUUGAAUUUUUUCUAUUUCAGUAAUAUUUUCGAUAAUUUAAUAAUUUUUUUAUAAUUUUUUCUAAAAAAAAAUUGCUUUAGAUUUUGCUAGAAAAAACAAAUACUCGCAAAACGCUUGCAAAAGUGCAAUGGAAAAGAACACGCAAAUUUGCAAGGAAACAAAAUACCGUUGCAAAUUUGCAACGAAAAUAUUGCUUGCAAAUUUGCGAGGAAAAGAAUACCGUUGCAAAUUUGCAACGAAAAUAUUGCUUGCAAAUUUGCGAUGAAAACAAAACGCUCGCAAAUUAGCGAGGAAAGGUUCCGUUGCAAAUCUGCAAUGGAAACAUUUCCUCGCAAAUUUGCGCGUGUUUUGCAAGCGACGUCGUUUCCGUUGCAAAGUGCGACGAUUAUUUUUUCGUUGCAAAUUUGCGACGAAAGUCAUUCCAAUUUGCGACUAAGGAUUUGCAAGGGAAUGUGUUUCCUCGCAAAUAGCUCGCAAAUGACGAUUUGCAACGGAAUUGCAAUGCAUUUUUCCCUUGCAAAUGACGUGUUUUCUUGUAGUGGCUCCAGCAACCUUCUCAAAUGUAUCUUCAUCUAAUCCUUGAUGGAUUAGACAGAGAGCCUUCUUGUCUCUCUUCCUUGAAUCUCUCAAACCAUCCUUUUGUGUUUGAGAUAAACCGCCAUCAUUCUCCAGUUCAACGAAGCCUUUCUCGACUAUCUCCCACACAUCAUGUGCUCCUAAGAUAGCCAUCAUCCUAAGACUCCAAUUGUCAUAGUUGCUCUUAGUGAGCAAUGGAACUUGGAAGGGAACACCAUUGUUUGCCAUCUUCAAAAGGAACUUGUAGCUCUGAUACCACUUUGUUGGAAUGAAAAACUUUAUAAAGAUGGAGAAAGUGUUUUAAGUGUUUGAAGAGAAAGAAAUUUUGUGAAGAAGAAAGAUUUUAUAACUUAGAAGAAGAUUUUUAUUACUUGUUACAAGCUUUAUUUAUUUCUUGGUGAUGCAAAAUGAGAAGAGAGUGGAGGUAUUUAUAGCCUCCAAAGUACAAAAUAUCUUACAUAUUUUAAUCUUAAAUCUAGAGAAUUCUACUUAAAAAUAUAGAUUAUUUUAUCUUAAUUAUCUAGAUAAUUCUAUAAGAAUAUCUAGAUUUUUAUUUUAAGGAGGUGGAUGAUUUUUCUAUAAUUUGGGCUAAGUUUUGGAUCAACACAUGAUUAACCCAAUAAUGUUUGAUCCAAAUCAAGUUUAUUUUUCAACAAUCCUUUAGUUGUAUAGUGUUAGUCUCUUCUUCCAUGUCUGAACACAGUUGUUAUCCGAAGCUUACUUCAAAGUCCACAAAUCAGUAUGAGGAGUGAAAAGAUCAAUUUGGUUUCCGGUGAUAGAUAUAAAUGACAUUCUCAUAUGAAUUUGAAAGAAUGCCUGAAAAAACGGGGAAAAAGUAACAAGCAUAAGGUUUUGGUGAACGAUCCUUCUUUGUUGUUGUGUCUUCACUCUUACCUUCUUGAUCUUUGAUCUCUGAUCAGCAUAUUCUUCAUCUGGAAACUGUAAUUACCAGAGUGUAAUUGUAUUAAACAUAAGAAAUAUCAAAAAGGUUAUUGUGGGAAUAUGACCAGGCUUACUUGUCCUGUGACAUUGUAUAAACGGUUGGUCCAUUCCAAUUCCAGAAUAUAAAUUUUUACAAACUUCUCCAGGGUUUUGUAAGAAGUAUUCGAUGUAAUAGAAUCCUGAUCAUAUAGAUCCAAGAAGCUUAACUUGCUAUUGUGUCAACAACAAAACACAUUCACGAGAGAUUUUCACUUAAUGUCUGCUUCAUCUCAUCAUGAUUUGUCCAGUCAAUUUCUAGAAUAUCAUAUUUAAAACUUAUUUUAUGAUUACUUUCCAUAAAAAUGAUCUAAUUUUUAAACUAACUUUUUUGAAGCUAAGCUGUUACUAAAUCAUGAAAUGUGUGACUGGAGACUUGUAAAUAAAAUGAGGAAAUUAAAUUUGAUAAGAAGGUUGCUUGGUCAGCAAUUUAACGCGUAUAUCUAAUUGAGGUUUAGAUUGUUAAGGAAUUCGACUGAUUGAACCUUUACCAUUGCUUGCUUAUCCAUCUUGUCCGUUUAAAUUAUACCUUCUUACUCUUUGAAGUCUUAACUUUACACUGCUUGCUUGUAUAGAAAAGUCUUCUUGGGUCACUCUGCCAUAAUAGAUUGGUUUUGGAUUCUAUCCCUUGAGGCCAGGAAAAAAAAACAAAUGCACAAAUCAACACCAUGAACGCUGAGAAUCGUAAGACUACUCACUCCAAAGUCAUCUCACAUGUAUCUUUCAAUAGUUCUGCCAAGGCUGUGCUGGACCACCCAUCGGUCUUUGUCGAUACUGGUGUGAGAGAAAUUGCCUACAUUGAGAAAAAUCAAAGUAAGCUUUCACAUUUCUUUUUCUCACCCUUGUUGGAUAGUCAAAAGAGCCGUCUCAAUACAAAACUCCCUCCUACUUAUGCCACAUGUUAAAACGAGAAUGGCUGGACCAUGCUUUGGGUUUCAUAGUUACCAAUGAUAUGAAGAGAAUGUUACAUUCUUUUCACCCAUCUGCGUCUGAAAGAACUGUGGCCCUAAAUACAUCUUCUUGUGGCCUAUGAACAGAUAAGAUCAAAUGUGAGAUUCAGAGGAAGGGAAGAGUAUGCAUACAAGGAGCUUGUACAGUUGUACAUAAUGCAAGUGCAACUGCUCUGCCCAGUGCGCGCCAGGUCCAUUCUCAAUCAGAUCUUCCGGGAGAUGUGGAUUACUUGCUUGUUUUCUCCAGUAAAAAAAAGUAAAAAGAAAUUACACGUUCGAGCCAGUAAAUUAUAUAUAUAUAUAUAUAUAUAUAUAUAUAUAUAUAGAACAUGGUUUAUGAGCCGCUAAUGUAGCGGCUUAGCCAUGCAAGAACGCGGGAAUAUAGCAAGUAAGCAGCAAGGAUAUAUAUUACAUAAUUAUAACUACACAAUGAAAAAUUAUGAAAAAUUGUUGUUGAUAAUUAUUUCUUAGUUAUCUAUACAUUCUUUAUGCUACUCAAAACUAUAUCCUUAUUCAAAAGUACAAAAGAGAAUAGGGCUAACAAAAAUAGUGAAGAAAAAAAAGCAUAAAGUUACAAAAAUUCUUGAAAGGAAAACCUUUUUGUGUUGUGCCCAUCGUGAGAACACAAAUAAAGACUUUAUAGUCAGAUUUUUUAUAUAAAAAACGUUAUGGAAGUCAACUAAAGGAAGUGGACUCGAUCCAGGAAGGUGUUGAGUUUCUCUUAGUCAACACAAAAGCAUAUUCCAUGGUGCUCUCUCUAGGAAAAAACUCAUCAAAACAUUAUAUAAUGAAGAGACAAAGACUUCACUUGUUCUCUCAGUUUGUGUCUCCACGAACUCCUCAGAAACUUCAAAAAAGCGACGAUGCCGCCGCUGAGAGUGUUAUCGGCGUUAGAUGCGGCGAGGAUACAGUGGUACCACUUCAAGGCGAUAAUAGUCGCCGGAAUGGGACUUUUCACCGACGCUUACGAUCUCUUCUGUAUAGCUCCGGUCUUGAAAAUGAUCAGCAAAAUCUAUUACGACAAUCAACCAGUCGGAACCGCUGUUCUCUCCACUUCUUACGCCAUCGCUCUCUUAGGAACCGCCUUAGGUCAGCUCAUCUUCGGCUACUUAGGCGACCGUGUCGGACGCACUCGAGUCUACGGUCUUUGUCUCUUGAUCAUGGUUCUAAGCUCCUUCGGCUGCGGGUUCUCCGUAUGCACGACUCGCCGUUCUUGCGUCAUGGCGAGUCUUGCCUUCUUUAGAUUCGUUCUUGGACUCGGUAUCGGUGGAGAUUACCCUCUCUCCGCCACGAUCAUGUCUGAGUUCGCGAAUAAGAAGACGCGUGGGGCUUUUAUCGCGGCUGUGUUUUCAAUGCAGGGGUUAGGGAUCUUGAUGAGCUCCGCCGUUACGAUGGCUGUGUGCAAAGCGUUCAAGAACGCCGGAGAAGGGAGUUUAGAGAUAACGAGAGCGGCGGGGAUAGAGACUUUGGCUCCGGCGGAAGCGGAUAUUGCUUGGAGGUUGAUUCUGAUGAUCGGUGCUCUUCCCGCUGCGUUAACGUUCUACUGGCGAAUGCUUAUGCCUGAAACCGCCAGGUUCCGUUCAAUUAUCUCUUUUCUUUUUAUUUUCAGCCAUAAAAAACAAAACAAAAUAUAUUUUUAGUUUUUGUUGUAUUUUCAUGUUUAUAAAUACGCAUCGUCUAUGUACUAUUUCUGUCAUUAAAAUUUUAAUCGUGUGAGAAAAAAAUGUCAUGAAAAUUUAAGCAAAAUAAUUCGAUAUGAUUUUGUUCCUAGUAGUAGUAAGUAGUAAGUAAGCUGAUUUGUGAGGGAGAUAUACAGAACGCUGUGGUAUUACCUUUCAAGCAACCUCUCAUUAUAUUGAUAAUAUAUGCAAUAGUGUUAGCAUUUUAUUGUAUAGUAUAUGGUUUUAGUAUGCCUUGUGUGUAUAUAAGCUCCAGCUAAGAAACAGAGUUUAAUUUAAUUUUAUUAUAUCUGGAAUUAGUCUCUCCAGCUGAUAUGUAGUAGGUACUCUCUUCCAAUCAAGUUCUCCCAAUUUGAUUAUCUUUGCUUCAUAAAUAAAAAUCGAAGAUAUUGGCUUUUUGUCUCUUCCGUGUGGUAUAUAAUGUAUGACCGAUAUGAUUAUCGAUGAUUCAUUCAAACGCUGAUUAUGAAGCAAAAGUGAUUAGUAAUCAAUUGAAAAUCAUCUAAUUAGUUUGAUUAACUAAUGUGUUAGAAAUGUCACACUUACUAUAAAUUAGGACAAUAUACUAUGCAGAAAACAUAUGUCAUUCAUUCAUUGUUAAUAUUGGUUUUAAGGUCCAAUUUAAUGAGCUUUGAUAAUAUUAUCUCUCUCCUUUUAUUGUUAAUUUAGCUGAAAAUAAGAACAUCCUAAAUCAUUUAUAUGUUUAUAUCAGAAUAAAUAUCAUAUUUUGCUACGAAGUUUUACAAAAGUUUUGAAUAUAUGUAGUAUCCAUUAACUAAAAGUCUAAAACUGAUAACGUUUAGAUGAUUUUAACGAGGAAUAGAUCUUUAUUUUAAAAUUUUCACUUUUUCAGUGUUUUCUACUAAAUAAUCAAAUCAAUGGUCCAGUUACUUACAUUUUUAUAAAUGCAUGCAGAUACACAGCACUAGUUGAGAACAAUGCAACCCAAGCAACAAAAGACAUGCAAAGAGUCAUGUCCGUAACCAUGACGCCUCCAAUACCCGAAGAAGAUUCGUCAUCGGAGACACCACAACAACAACCGUCUUCAUCCUCCUACAAACUCUUCUCCCGCCGUUUCCUCAGCCUCCACGGCCGUGACCUCUUCGCAGCCUCAGCCAACUGGUUCCUAGUGGACGUCGUCUUCUACACAAGCAACCUCCUCCUCGCUCAAA